rnacentral:rRNA from 1 species
UACGUAGGGUGCAAGCGUUGUCCGGAAUUAUUGGGCGUAAAGAGCUCGUAGGCGGUCUGUCGCGUCGGCUGUGAAAACCCGGAGCUCAACUCCGGGCCUGCAGUCGAUACGGGCAAACUGGAGUACUGCAGGGGAGACUGGAAUUCCUGGUGUAGCGGUGAAAUGCGCAGAUAUCAGGAGGAACACCGGUGGCGAAGGCGGGUCUCUGGGCAGUAACUGACGC